rnacentral:rRNA from 1 species
AGGAUGAACGCUGGCGGUCUGCUUAACACAUGCAAGUCGAACGGAGUAGAAAUACUUAGUGGCGGACGGGUGAGUAACGCGUGAGAAUCUACCUUCAGGACGGAGACAACAGUUGGAAACGACUGCUAACCCCCGAUGUACUGAAAAGGCAAAUAUUUAUAGCCUGAAGAAGAGCUCGCGUCCGAUUAGCUAGUUGGAGAGGUAAAAGCUCACCAAGGCGACGAUCGGUAGCUGGUCUGAGAGGACGAUCAGCCACACUGGGACUGGGACACGGCCCAGACUCCUACGGGAGGCAGCAGUGGGGAAUUUUCCGCAAUGGGCGAAAGCCUGACGGAGCAAGACCGCGUGGGGGAAGAAGGCUCUUGGGGUUGUAAACCCCCUUUUCUCGUGGGAAGAACGCAAUGACGGUACCAGAGGAAUCAGCAUCGGCUAACUCCGUGCCAGCAGCCGC